GAUUGUAGGCUGCAACUCGCCUACAUGAAGUCGGAAUCGCUAGUAAUCGCGGAUCAGCAUGCCGCGGUGAAUACGUUCCCGGGCCUUGUACACACCGCCCGUCACACCAUGAGAGUUUGUAACACCCAAAGCCGGUGGGGUAACCUUUUGGAGCCAGCCGUCUAAGGUGGGACAGAUGAUUGGGGUGAAGUCGUAACAAGGUAAC
rnacentral:rRNA from 1 species